rnacentral:rRNA from 1 species
AGGUUUGGCACCUCGAUGUCGGCUCAUCCCAUCCUGGGGCUGUAGUAGGUCCCAAGGGUUGGGCUGUUCGCCCAUUAAAGGGGUACGCGAGCUGGGUUCAGAACGUCGUGAGACAGUUCGGUCCCUAGCCGUCGCAGGCGUAGGAAAUUUGAGAAGACCUGUCCUUAGUACGAGAGGACCGGGAUGGACGUACCUCUGGUGUACCAGU